rnacentral:rRNA from 1 species
GAUGAACGCUGGCGGCGUGCUUAACACAUGCAAGUCGAGCGAAGCGAUUUUAAGGAAGUUUUCGGAUGGAAUUGGAAUUGACUGAGCGGCGGACGGGUGAGUAACGCGUGGGUAACCUGCCUCAUACAGGGGGAUAACAGAGAGAAAUUUCUGCUAAUACCGCAUAAGCGCACAGCAUCGCAUGAUGCAGUGUGAAAAACUCCGGUGGUAUGGGAUGGACCCGCGUUGGAUUAGGUAGUUGGUGAGGCAGAGGCUCACCAAGCCGACGAUCCAUAGCCGACCUGAGAGGGUGAACGGCCACAUUGGGACUGAGACACGGCCCAA